UACGGGGGGGCAAGCGUUGUUCGGAAUUACUGGGCGUAAAGGGUUCGUAGGUGGCCAACUAAGUCAGACGUGAAAUCCCUCGGCUUAACCGGGGAACUGCGUCUGAUACUGGAUGGCUUGAGGUUGGGAGAGGGAUGCGGAAUUCCAGGUGUAGCGGUGAAAUGCGUAGAUAUCUGGAGGAACACCGGUGGCGAAGGCGGCAUCCUGGACCAAUUCUGACGCUGAGGAGCGAAAGCCAGGGGAGCAAACGGG
rnacentral:rRNA from 1 species